AGAGAACCCACAGCCGCUCCGACGCCCGUCUGUCGUCUGCCGUAGACGGUUCCGAGUCACAGUCAGACAGCAGGCGCAUCAGACGCCGGGACAGACCUGCAGGCCGACAGACAGGAAGCUGCUGUCGGCCGAGCUGCCGAGUGACACCGCCAGCUGCUGGAAACACGAGGUGACCCGACCGAGAGCCUCCUGGGCGCGCUCGCACUCGCCAUGCUGCCGCCGCCGUGCCGCCAACUCGUCCACUGAACGUCGCCACCGGCUCAUGAUGUCAUCGCCGUGCUGCCGGGGAGCAGGGCAGGUGUGUGGAUUUGUUGUCAUUUUCUAAUGUUGGUUAUUGAUUUUAAGCAGAGAUGGGUUGGCGAAAGCAAUGAUAUAGAACGUCUAAUGUUGGUUGGCCUCUAGAGGGAGGCUUUAAAGAUGGCCGUCAUCACAAGGAGAGCACAUUGAACGAAUGUACAAAAAUACAUUCAAAACAUUACAAAAACUAUUUAUAAUUACUUUUCUAUGAUAUCUAUGUGAUGUGAUUUCGCUGUUUUACGGAUAAACUACCGGAAGAAACCAUUCCAGUCCAGAUCUUUCCUCUCUUCAGCGUGAUAAAGUGACCGAAGACCUAUUGAUCUUUCUCCUACUCCCACUGUUUACUAGAGCAGAAAUUUUAACUUUUCUAGAAAAAAAUCCAUUUGUUUGUGUCCACAAAGCAUUGGUGAGACAUUUGUCUGUGUCAGAGCUUCAAGCUCAAACUGGGUGUCGGACUGCUCUUUAAAAUUGAACAAAUAAAGUUGAUAUCAAAGUU